rnacentral:lncRNA from 1 species
GGCGAGAAAUAAGCAACGUCCCUCGCACGUGUGCGGUGGCCGAAGCUUCAAGGCAUGUCAAAUAAUAAUUGCUGCGUGGUGGGGUGCUCAAACACUUACAAAAACUCGCCGGCGACACGGUUUUAUUCGUUCCCCGCGAGGCCUCAUGAGCGGGAGCGACGGAAACAAUGGAUCGCCGCCGUUCGGCGUGGAAGUACAGACGGCAGUCCGUGGCAGCCUACCAAGCACAGCAGGAUCUGCAGCAGUCACUUUGUAAAUGGCGAGAAGUCGGACGAUCAGAGAAGCCCUGCCUAUCUACCAACCUUGUUUCCAAGUGUGUACAGGUCCACUAAUGUUGCUGCUGCACACAGGUAUGAAAGGCUCCGGUCACGUGAGCAGCACAAACAACCCACAUGGGGCUGUGUGUUGCCAGUUCCUGACGACCAAGAAUGCGAUGCUGCGACUACAGAGCACACAAGUGUAGGUAUCCC